AGAACCUGGCGGUACUUUAGUCUAGUUGGAGGAACCUGUUUCAUAAACGAUAAACCACGUAAAAUCUUUCUUGUUCUUGUACAGUUAGUAUACCUUCAUUACAGAUAAUUUUUAUUGAUUGAUUAUUGCAAUUAGUACGGAAUACACGCUAAGUAAAUUAGAUCAAGGUGCUGCAAAUGAUCAAGUAGAAAUGGGUUACAAUGGUUUUUAACGUUAAGCGGAGUAUGUUUAGGAUUAAGCAUAUGAAGAUGGAUUCAAUUGUAAUUUUAACUUUAAUAAGGUAAAAUGGUAUUAGCUCUAAAGUGUGUACAUAUUGCCCGUCGCUUUCAUUAAGUUAAAUGAGAUAA
rnacentral:rRNA from 1 species